rnacentral:rRNA from 1 species
UACGGGGGGAGCAAGCGUUGUUCGGAUUUACUGGGCGUAAAGGGCGCGUAGGCGGUCACGACAAGUCAGUUGUGAAAUCUCCGGGCUUAACUCGGAACGGUCAACUGAUACUGUCGGACUAGAGUGCAGAAGGGGCAACUGGAAUUCUCGGUGUAGCGGUGAAAUGCGUAGAUAUCGAGAGGAACACCUGCGGCGAAGGCGGGUUGCUGGGCUGACACUGACGCUGAGGCGCGAAAGCUAGGGGAGCGAUCGGG